UACGGAGGGGGCAAGCGUUGUUCGGAAUUAUUGGGCGUAAAGGGCGCGUAGGCGGCCGGCCAAGUCGGGUGUGAAAUCCCUCGGCUCAACCGAGGAACUGCACUCGAUACUGGCUGGCUUGAGUCCGGGAGGGGAUGGUGGAAUUCCCAGUGUAGCGGUGAAAUGCGUAGAUAUUGGGAAGAACACCGGUGGCGAAGGCGACCAUCUGGACCGGAACUGACGCUGAGGCGCGAAAGCGUGGGGAGCGAACAGG
rnacentral:rRNA from 1 species